rnacentral:rRNA from 1 species
GACGAACGCUGGCGGCGUGCUUAACACAUGCAAGUCGAACGAGACGAUUGAAAGCUUGCUUUCGAAAGUCGAGUGGCAAACGGGUGAGUAACGCGUAGACAACCUGCCUUUGAGAUGGGGACAACAGUUCGAAAGGACUGCUAAUACCGAAUGUUGUAUAUUUUCCACAUGGAAGAUAUGUUAAAGAUGGCCUCUAUUUAUAAGCUAUCGCUCAAAGAUGGGUUUGCUUCUGAUUAGCUGGUUGGUGGGGUAACGGCCUACCAAGGCGACGAUCAGUAGCCGGUCUGAGAGGAUGAACGGCCACAUUGGGACUGAGACACGGCCCAGACUCCUACGGGAGGCAGCAGUGGGGAAUCUUCCACAAUGGACGAAAGUCUGAUGGAGCAACGCCGCGUGAGUGAAGAAGGGUUUCGGCUCGUAAAGCUCUGUUGUCGGGGACGAAUGUGCAGUAUUUGAAUAAAGUACUGCAAUGACGGUACCUGACGAGGAAGCCACGGCUAACUACGUGCCAGCAGCCGCCGUAA